AUUGAACGCUGGCGGCAGGCCUAACACAUGCAAGUCGAGCGAAGCGGGGACGGGUGAGUAACACGUGGAUAACCUCCUAUACGACUGGGAUAACUUCGGGAAACCGGAGCUAAACCGGAUACUUAGAGAUGGAUCCGCGCUGCAUUAGCUAGGUGGUAAGGUAACGGCUUACAAAGGCAACGAUGCAUAGCCGACCGGAGAGGGUGAGCGGCCACACUGGAACUGAGACACGGUCCAGACUCCUACGGGAGGCAGCAGUAGGGAAUCUUCCGAAAUGGGCGAAAGCCUGACGGAGCAACGCCGCGUGAGUGAUGAAGGUCUUCGGAUCGUAAAACUCUGUUAUUAGGGAAGCGGUACCUAAUCAGAAAGCCACGGCUAACUACGUGCCAGCAGCCGCGGUAAUUC
rnacentral:rRNA from 1 species